GGGCUUUGUCAUUGUACUCCCAGCAGGAUGCUCUUUUGCCUUGCCCCACCGUUCAGUUUAAUCCUCCAGAAAGAAAAUUUUUAGAGGUACAUCGGACUAAAUCAUUUUCGUCUGAGCACACCGUUUCCAAAUGGCCGCCCAGGGUCCUAAAUCCGGCGGCUGCGGAGAGGGACUAGCGGGUGUUCUCCUCUGCAGAGCCGUGGGACUCCAGCGCCUUCAUCACUGGACGUUGGAAGCCGGGAAGGAAACCCACACACUCAGGGAUAGGGGUGUGUGUGUAUAUAUAUGUGCAUGCAUAAGUAUUCAUUCUUGAACUUCUAUACUGAAGUCAGUAGUGAUCUUUACAAAUAAGUUGCUGGCAUACCUCAUCACAAAUAAUUAUGUAAUAAAGAGAAAAUAUAAACAAGAUGGAUGUAGAACAAUAAUGAAACUGAAAACAUUAUGUCUUACAUAAACUAAUAGCAGCUACAAUUUUUGCUUUUAUUGUCUUGGAGAAAACAAGUGGAGGCCUCUCAGGAGCAGAAUGGGUUAGGACAUGGUAAGCACCACCAUAUAUAAGAUGUAUGAACAAAGGAUUACAUGGAACAUGGAAAUCUUCAUGAACCUGGUGGCAUUUAUGCUGGAUCUUUUAAAACAGAAGAGUUUUUAGGUGGAGGUAGGAUUGAAAAACAUUUCAGUUGAACUAAACAGAAUGUCUAAAUGGACAGAAUCAGGAAACAAUGGUAUGUGUUUUAUUAUUGAAACAGUCUACUUGUCAGGAACAUGGGAUGAAUAAAGCAAAGUGGCAACACGUGAAAAGUAGAAAGAAGCUGGUAAGAAGGGGAAAUGACAGAUACCGUAGGCAGCUCUGAGAGUUACCUUAAGGAGUUUCAAAUUCAUUCAGUCUAAAGCUUUUUGAGCAGGAAGGUAAUAGGAGAUCCUUCUUGCCAUAGUGUAUUAAAAUUUAUUGUAGAAAAAUGAUCAUGAGUUUUCAAUAGGUAUAAUUACAGAAAGUCAAAAUUAUUCACAUCAACUAAUGAUGUUCUAUGUUAAUAUGAAGAGAACAGAUUCAUUCUCAGAGCACACAGACAGGCCCUCAUAUCAAACUACAGCUUGACUCAUUGGCCGGAUGGCUCUCCAUACCAUUUUCUUCAGUGUUUGCUAUGGCAGAAAUGAAAAAACGUAUUACUUUUUUGAAGGUUUAUAAGUCUGACUAUAGAACAAUUAAUGGUAUACAAAGGAAAAGUAUGUUGUGGCCUAAGUGUGAAAUUCUGAAAACUCAUGUUUUUAACGUCCCAAACGUUUCCUAAAAUGUCCCUUUAUAAACCCCCAAAUAACUGUAUUCUUUUGUGAAUUCCCUCUAAUUGUAGUGGCUUAUUUGAUCCCCAGGUAGUAUAAAAACAUGAUAACACCUACCCAUGAGUGAGA